rnacentral:rRNA from 1 species
UACGUAGGUGACAAGCGUUGUCCGGAUUUACUGGGCGUAAAGAGCGCGCAGGCGGUCGAUCAAGUCGAGUGUGAAAGCCCCCGGCUCAACUGGGGAGGGUCAUUCGAUACUGAUCGACUCGAAGGCAGGAGAGGGUAGUGGAAUUCCCGGUGUAGUGGUGAAAUGCGUAGAUAUCAGGAGGAACACCGGUGGCGAAGGCGGGUCUCUGGGUAGUAACUGACGCUGAGGAACGAAAGCGUGGGUAGCGAACAGG